UGUCCCUCUACAGUUACGGAAUCCGAGUAGCGAGUACAUGCAAAAUUAAACGAAAGAGAUGUAAAAGAAAAACCUUUUUAAAUGUCUUAAUAAGUGUCCAACUAUUGCAAUGACUGUGGAACUAGGAACUACACCCACAAGGUGAAGGAAUUCAUUUGAACAUCUUGAACCAAUAUGUCCACGUUCCGCUUCGCCAAUCGUACAGCCUCAUCAACGGAAGCAGACAAGUUAAAGGUUAGUAGUUCAGAUUUAGGAGUUGAACGCUCUUUAUCAUUGUCCACUGUUUUCCCCUUUCUGCGUAAA